AUUGAACGCUGGCGGCAGGCUUAACACAUGCAAGUCGAGCGGGGAAAGGUAGCUUGCUACCUGACCUAGCGGCGGACGGGUGAGUAAUGCUUAGGAAUCUGCCUAUUAGUGGGGGACAACAUCUCGAAAGGGAUGCUAAUACCGCAUACGUCCUACGGGAGAAAGCAGGGGACCUUCGGGCCUUGCGCUAAUAGAUGAGCCUAAGUCGGAUUAGCUAGUUGGUGGGGUAAAGGCCUACCAAGGCGACGAUCUGUAGCGGGUCUGAGAGGAUGAUCCGCCAAACUGGGACUGAGACACGGCCCAGACUCCUACGGGAGGCAGCAGUGGGGAAUAUUGGACAAUGGGGGGAACCCUGAUCCAGCCAUGCCGCGUGUGUGAAGAAGGCCUUUUGGUUGUAAAGCACUUUAAGCGAGGAGGAGGCUACCGAGAUUAAUACUCUUGGAUAGUGGACGUUGCUCGCAGAAUAAGCACCGGCUAACUCUGUGCCAGCCGCCGCAGUAA
rnacentral:rRNA from 1 species